rnacentral:rRNA from 1 species
UACGUAGGGUGCAAGCGUUAAUCGGAAUUACUGGGCGUAAAGCGUGCGCAGGCGGUUAUGCAAGACAGAUGUGCAAUCCCCGGGCUCAACCUGGGAACUGCAUUUGUGACUGCAUAGCUAGAGUACGGUAGAGGGGGAUGGAAUUCCGCGUGUAGCAGUGAAAUGCGUAGAUAUGCGGAGGAACACCGAUGGCGAAGGCAAUCCCCUGGACCUGUACUGACGCUCAUGCACGAAAGCGUGGGGAGCAAACAGG